AAUAGAUACCCGGGUAGUCCACGCCGUAAACGAUGAGUGCUAAGUGUUAGAGGGCUUCCACCCUUUAGUGCUGCAGCUAACGCAUUAAGCACUCCGCCUGGGGAGUACGGCCGCAAGGCUGAAACUCAAAGGAAUUGACGGGGGCCCGCACAAGCGGUGGAGCAUGUGGUUUAAUUCGAAGCAACGCGAAGAACCUUACCAGGUCUUGACAUCCUUCGCUACCUCUAGAGAUAGAGGGUUCCCCUUCGGGGGACGGAGUGACAGGUGGUGCAUGGUUGUCGUCAGCUCGUGUCGUGAGAUGUUGGGUUAAGUCCCGCAACGAGCGCAACCCUUGACCUUAGUUGCCAGCAUUCAGUUGGGCACUCUAAGGUGACUGCCGGUGACAAACCGGAGGAAGGUGGGGAUGACGUCAAAUCAUCAUGCCCCUUAUGACCUGGGCUACACACGUGCUACAAUGGAUGGUACAAAGGGUCGCGAAACCGCGAGGUGGAGCCAAUCCCAAAAAACCCAUUCUCAGUUCGGAUUGCAGG
rnacentral:rRNA from 1 species